ACUCUAAUAGUUUAUGAA
rnacentral:tRNA from 1 species